AUGGAACCUUUACAAUGGUGCUUCACCGUCCUCCUCGUCAUCUCCAGCUUACGGCCACCCAUGGCCACUGGUGACACAUACGCCACUGUCUGCGGCAAAACCGGCAAGUACAAAGCCAAUAGCACCUACCAACAGAAUGUCCAGAGUGUCACCAAAUACCUCUUCAACGAGGCCACCUUCAGUGGCGGCAACGGCUUCGCAACAAGAACGGAGGGCACUGACCCAGAUAGGGUUUACGGCCUUGGCAUCUGCCGCGGGGACACCCCGGACAACGUCACCUGCUACGAGUGCCUGUCCUCCGCAUCAGUAGAGGCGUCGACGCUCUGCCCGGAUGACAAGGACGCCACACUCUUCUACGACGGCUGCACCGUGCGCUUCUCCGACCAGGAUUUCCUCUCCUUCUCGUUCUGGCCCUGGUAUAACGAGCCGGAGGUCGUCCUCAACAACACGAACACGGUGAAUCCUGCGGCAGUGGCCAGCAGCUUCGACGUGCUCGUGGACACGCUGAUGAACAAGACUGCAGAGCAUGCGGCGGCGGCGAGCGAUGCCCCUCAAAAGAAGGUAGCCACCGGCGAGGCCCUGUUCGAUGGGAGCGAUCCGCAAACAAAGAUUUACAGCCUGGCGCAGUGCACGCCAGACCUGACGUAUGGCGGAUGCAAAAAUUGCCUCCGGUUUGUGAUGGACGAAAUGGCCCUUACGAGGGUGCCUGGCGCACAGGGACAGAGGGUGGCUGGGGUGAGAUGCAACGUACGAUUCGAGGUGUACCCGUUCUAUAUCGGCGAGGCCAUGGUUCGUAUUGAAGGAACUCCGGCGCCAUCACCUGCGCCAUCAAAGUCGAGGCUGGCGGCGCCUCCUGCACCACCGAACCCUGCGAGUCCACCGAGCAAAGGAGGUAUCAAGAAUAAGAUAUGGUUAGUUGCAGUUAGUGUGUCUCUUGUACUUCUAUUAUGUUGCAUCCUUCUUGCCAUUAUUUGGACUCAAUCAAGACGUCUGCAUAAGAGAAUCCUAAGAUCACAAUCGCAAGAAGUUUUCCCGCCUAGCACAGAGGAAGCUAUAAUGCUUUGGAGGAUGGAAGAGGGUCGCUCUGAGCUCUCAAUGUUUGAGUUUUCUCAGGUUAUAGAUGCCACAAACAACUUCUCGGAAGGAAAUAAACUUGGCGAGGGUGGUUUUGGUCGUGUCUACAAGGGACAACUACCAAAUGGACUUGAGAUAGCGGUCAAAAGACUAGCUCAACAUUCAGGGCAAGGACUAAAUGAGUUUAAGACUGAGAUUCAUCUUAUUGCGAAGCUUCAACACACCAACUUGGUGAGACUCUUGGGGUACUGCAUUGAAGGAGAAGAGAAGAUUCUGAUAUAUGAAUACAUGUCCAAUAAAAGCUUAGACUUCUUCAUAUUUGAUACGACAAGAGGAGCAUUGUUAAACUGGAACAGGAGGCGCCAUAUAAUUGAAGGGGUGGCUCAAGGAUUACUCUACCUCCACAAACACUCACGUUUGAGGGUAAUACAUAGGGACUUGAAAGCGAGCAACAUUCUAUUGGAUGAAAAUAUGAAUCCGAGGAUAUCAGAUUUUGGCCUUGCCCGAAUAUUUGGAUCGAAUGAAAGCCAUGCUAAUACAAGCAGAGUUGUGGGAACACAUGGUUAUAUGGCUCCUGAGUAUGCCUCGGAGGGACAAUUCUCAAUCAAGUCGGAUGUAUUCAGCUUUGGAGUGUUGCUAUUGGAGAUCAUCUCUGGUAAAAGAAACAAUGGAUUCCACCAAACUGGGAACAGCGGCAAUCUUCUUGGAUAUGUUUGGCUAUUAUGGACAAGAGAAAAUUGGUGUGAGCUCAUUGACCCUUGCUUAGAUGUUAAGCAUCCAAAUAUGGAGAUUAUGAGAUUCAUUAAUGUCGGGUUAAUGUGCGUACAAGACGACGCAGUCGACCGCCCUACAAUCUCGGAUGCUAUCUCGUUGCUCAUGAAUGAGAGCACAAGCUUGCCUGACCCAAAGAAGCCUGCUUACUUUAGGAACAAAGGAGAAGAUCCAAAGUUAGAGGAACAAUACAGUGUAAACCAGAUGGUAGAUAGUUGA
rnacentral:rRNA from 1 species